GGAGUCACUUCCCGAGCUGGUGACGGGCCCGGUCUUCAAAACCGGUGGACACGCGGCUUUCGUCGCGGUCGGCAGGUUCGAUUCCUGUGUGGCUCCG
rnacentral:tRNA from 1 species